CAGUCGCCGCGGGAAUACGGAGGGUGCAAGCGUUAUCCGGAUUUAUUGGGUUUAAAGGGUCCGUAGGCGGAUCUGUAAGUCAGUGGUGAAAUCUCACAGCUUAACUGUGAAACUGCCAUUGAUACUGUAAGUCUUGAGUAUAUUUGAGGUAGCUGGAAUAAGUAGUGUAGCGGUGAAAUGCAUAGAUAUUACUUAGAACACCAAUUGCGAAGGCAGGUUACCAAGAUAUAACUGACGCUGAGGGACGAAAGCGUGGGUAGCGAACAGGAUUAGAUACCCCUGUAGUCCCUGUCUCUUAUAC
rnacentral:rRNA from 1 species